ACUGGUGGACAAACCGCUUUGUAAAUGUCAGAAAUGGUCUGGUCUCAGAAGCUAAGCGCGGUUGGACCUGGUUUGUACUUCGAUGGGAGACCGCUGGGACUAUCAGGUGCCAUAGUC
rnacentral:rRNA from 1 species